rnacentral:rRNA from 1 species
AACGAACGCUGGCGGCGUGUUUAAGACAUGCAAGUCGCACGGUGUCAUUUUGGUAGCAAUACUUGAAUGGCAUAGUGGCGCACGGGUGAGUAACACGUGAAUUACAUGCCCUGUAGAGGGGGAUAGCCCAGGGAAACUUGGAUUAAUACCCCAUGGUCUCGCAAGGGUAAAGGUGGCCGCAAGGCUGUCGCUACAGGCUUGGUUCGCGCCCUAUCAGCUUGUUGGCGGGGUAACGGCCCACCAAGGCUACGACGGGUACCUGGUCUGAGAGGACGAUCAGGCACACUGGAACUGAGACACGGUCCAGACACCUACGGGUGGCAGCAGUCGAGAAUAAUUCACAAUGGGGGCAACCCUGAUGGUGCAACGCCGCGUGGAGGAUGACGGUCUUCGGAUUGUAAACUCCUGUCAUCCGGGAGUAAGACCUGGGAGUUAAUAGCUCACAGGGUUGAUAGUACCGGAAGAGGAAGGGACGGCUAACUUCGUGCCAGCCGCCGCAGUAAAAC